rnacentral:rRNA from 1 species
GAAUAUUGGACAAUGGGGGCAACCCUGAUCCAGCCAUGCCGCGUGAGUGACGAAGGCCUUAGGGUUGUAAAGCUCUUUUGGCGGGGACGAUAAUGACGGUACCCGCAAAAUAAGCCCCGGCUAACUUCGUGCCAGCAGCCGCGGUAAUACGAAGGGGGCUAGCGUUGUUCGGAAUCACUGGGCGUAAAGAGCACGUAGGCGGACUUGUUAGUCAGGGGUGAAAUCCCGGGGCUCAACCUCGGAACUGCCUUUGAAACUGCAAGUCUUGAGUCCGAGAGAGGUGAGUGGAAUUCCUAGUGUAGAGGUGAAAUUCGUAGAUAUUAGGAAGAACACCAGUGGCGAAGGCGGCUCACUGGCUCGGUACUGACGCUGAGGUGCGAAAGCGUGGGGAGCAAACAG